rnacentral:rRNA from 1 species
GGCGGCUGCGUAUGCUAUACUGCAAGUCGAGCGGAAGAUGGGAGCUUGCUCCCUGAUGUUAGCGGCGGACGGGUGAGUAACACGUGGGUAACCUGCCUGUAAGACUGGGAUAACUCCGGGAAACCGGGGCUAAUACCGGAUGGUUGUUUGAACCGCAUGGUUCAGACAUAAAAGGUGGCUUCGGCUACCACUUACAGAUGGACCCGCGGCGCAUUAGCUAGUUGGUGAGGUAACGGCUCACCAAGGCGACGAUGCGUAGCCGACCUGAGAGGGUGAUCGGCCACACUGGGACUGAGACACGGCCCAGACUCCUACGGGAGGCAGCAGUAGGGAAUCUUCCGCAAUGGACGAAAGUCUGACGGAGCAACGCCGCGUGAGUGAUGAAGGUUUUCGGAUCGUAAAGCUCUGUUGUUAGGGAAGAACAAGUGCCGUUCAAAUAGGGCGGCACCUUGACGGUACCUAACCAGAAAGCCACGGCUAACUACGUGCCAGCAGCCGCGGUAAUACGUAGGUGGCAAGCGUUGUCCGGAAUUAUUGGGCGUAAAGGGCUCGCAGGCGGUUUCUUAAGUCUGAUGUGAAAGCCCCCGGCUCAACCGGGGAGGGUCAUUGGAAACUGGGGAACUUGAGUGCAGAAGAGGAGAGUGGAAUUCCACGUGUAGCGGUGAAAUGCGUAGAGAUGUGGAGGAACACCAGUGGCGAAGGCGACUCUCUGGUCUGUAACUGACGCUGAGGAGCGAAAGCGUGGGGAGCGAACAGGAUUAGAUACCCUGGUAGUCCACGCCGUAAACGAUGAGUGCUAAGUGUUAGGGGGUUUCCGCCCCUUAGUGCUGCAGCUAACGCAUUAAGCACUCCGCCUGGGGAGUACGGUCGCAAGACUGAAACUCAAAGGAAUUGACGGGGGCCCGCACAAGCGGUGGAGCAUGUGGUUUAAUUCGAAGCAACGCGAAGAACCUUACCAGGUCUUGACAUCCUCUGACAAUCCUAGAGAUAGGACGUCCCCUUCGGGGGCAGAGUGACAGGUGGUGCAUGGUUGUCGUCAGCUCGUGUCGUGAGAUGUUGGGUUAAGUCCCGCAACGAGCGCAACCCUUGAUCUUAGUUGCCAGCAUUCAGUUGGGCACUCUAAGGUGACUGCCGGUGACAACCCGAAGGAAGGGGGGGAUGACGUCAAUCAUCAUGCCCCUUAAGACUUGGGCUCCCCCGUGCCACAUUGGACAGAACAAAGGCCGCCAAAC